UGAGGAAUAUUGGUCAAUGGGCGCAAGCCUGAACCAGCCAUGCCGCGUGCAGGAUGACGGUCCUAUGGAUUGUAAACUGCUUUUGUACGAGAAGAAACAACAUUACGUGUAAUGUCUUGACGGUAUCGUAAGAAUAAGGAUCGGCUAACUCCGUG
rnacentral:rRNA from 1 species